rnacentral:rRNA from 1 species
AGUGAACGCUGGCGGUAGGCCUAACACAUGCAAGUCGAACGGCAGCACAGUAAGAGCUUGCUCUUACGGGUGGCGAGUGGCGUACGUGUGAUGAAUACAUCGUAAUCUACUUUUUCGUGGGGGAUAACGUAGGGAAACUUACGCUAAUACCGCAUACUACCUACGGGUGAAAGCAUGGGAUCUUCGGACCUUGCGCGAUUGUAUGAGCCGAUGUCGGAUUAGCUAGUUGGCGGGGUAAAGUCCCACCAAGGCGACGAUCCGUAGCUGGUCUGAGAGGAUGAUCAGCCACACUGGAACUGAGACACGGACCAGACGCCUACGGGAGGCAGCAGUGGGGAAUAUUGGAAAAUGGGCGCAAGCAUGAUCCAGCAAUACCGCGUGGGUGAAGAAGGACUUCGGGUUGGAAAGCCAUUUUGUUGGGAAAGAAAAGAAGCAGGUUAAUACGCCGAUGUUCUGACGGUACCCAAAGAAUAAGCACCGGCUAACUUCGUG